UUCUUAUCAUGAGAGGUGGAGGGACUGGCCCUUUGAAACCUCAGCAACCAGUCGUUAGAGACAUGGUGCUAAAUCCAGCAAGCAAUUUAUUGCUUGGAAGAUAAGAA
rnacentral:ncRNA from 3 species